GGGGAGGCUGUGGUUGUUGCUGCCAGCGGCGGCUCCGCCAUGGCCAGAAAUCGAGGGAGGCCACGGAGAUCACGGAGGCCGCCGUUGCCAAGGAGGAGGCGAUGCGGACGUCGCCGGUGAGGGAGCAGCGAGAGCUGUGAGACGGAGUGGUGGCUUGUCGCUGCCAUUUCGCCGGGAGUUAGAGUGACGGCGCGAGUUGGGGAGCUAGGGCUCCGAUUCGCGGCGCCUCUUCGUCGACCAGAAUCGGAGCAAUAGAUGAGGGAGAAGAGAGAGUCGACGGGAGGAGCGACUGACGAAGGCGGUGACUUCGGGAGAGAGAGAGAGAGACGAACAGAUCGAGAGAGAGAGAGAGAAGAAAGGGUCGGCUCUUCCAGAGAGAGAAAAGUGAGAAACGAGAAUUCAGAGAGAGAGUGAACCGAGUGGGAGAGAUAAGGAGGACUUGGGCUUCUCUUUGAUAGAUUUGGGCUUUGUUAUUUAUUUUCAUUUGGGCUCUUUUAUUGUAAUUGGGCCUUUCUCUUUUAAAUUAUGAAUUGGGCCUCUGAUUUUAUUUAUAUGGGCCGAUUUUAAAUUAUGAAUUGGGCCUCUGAUUUUAUUUAUAUGGGCCGAUUUUAAUUACUGAUUGGGCCUCUGAAUUUAUUUAUAUGGGCCUUUGAUUAUUCACUUAAUUGGGCUGCUGUAUCAUUUCAGUUGGGCCUUAGUUAUUUUAUUUCAGUUGGGCCUUAUUUAUUUUACUCAGAUGGGC
rnacentral:lncRNA from 1 species